UACGGGGGGGGCAAGCGUUGUUCGGAAUUACUGGGCGUAAAGGGCUCGUAGGCGGCCAACUAAGUCAGACGUGAAAUCCCUCGGCUUAACCGGGGAACUGCGUCUGAUACUGGAUGGCUUGAAUCCGGGAGAGGGGUGCGGAAUUCCAGGUGUAGCGGUGAAAUGCGUAGAUAUCUGGAGGAACACCGGUGGCGAAGGCGGCAUCCUGGACCGGCAUUGACGCUGAGGAGCGAAGGCCAGGGGAGCAAACAGG
rnacentral:rRNA from 1 species